rnacentral:rRNA from 1 species
UACAGAGGUCCCAAGCGUUGUUCGGAUUCAUUGGGCGUAAAGGGUGCGUAGGCGGCGCGGUAAGUCGGGUGUGAAAUCUCGGAGCUUAACUCCGAAACUGCAUUCGAUACUGCCGUGCUUGAGGACUGGAGAGGAGACUGGAAUUUACGGUGUAGCGGUGAAAUGCGUAGAUAUCGUUUGGAACGCCAAUGGUGAAAACAGACAGCCGGGAGUGUGCUGACGCUGAGACACGAAAGCCAGGGGAGCGAACGGG